UGGAAAUGUUCCCAAACACAGGUAUGGC
rnacentral:piRNA from 1 species